rnacentral:rRNA from 1 species
CCUACGGGAGGCUGCAGUGAGGAAUAUUGGUCAAUGGACGCAAGUCUGAACCAGCCAUGCCGCGUGCAGGAAGACGGCUCUAUGAGUUGUAAACUGCUUUUGUACGAGGGUAAACGCAGAUACGUGUAUCUGACUGAAAGUAUCCUACGAAUAAGGAUCGGCUAACUCCGUGCCAGCAGCCGCGGUAAUACGGAGGAUUCAAGCGUUAUCCGGAUUUAUUGGGUUUAAAGGGUGCGUAGGCGGUCGGAUAAGUUAGAGGUGAAAUCCCGAGGCUCAACUUCGGACUUGCGUCUGAUACUGUUCGGCUAGAGAGUGGUUGAGGUAGGCGGAAUGUGUGGUGUAGCGGUGAAAUGCUUAGAGAUCAUACAGAACACCGAUUGCGAAGGCAGCUUACCGGGCUACUUCUGACGUUGAGGCACGAAAGCGUGGGGAGCAAACAGGAUUAGAUACCCUGGUAGUC